GAGAGGUGCUGCAUGGCUGUCGUCGGCUCGUGUUGUGAAAUGUUGGGUUAAGUCUCGCAACGAGCGCAACCCCUAUCGUCUGUUGCCAGCAUUAAGUUGGCACUCUGACGAGACUGCCUGGGUUAACCAGGAGGAAGGUGGGGAUGACGUCAAGUCCUCAUGGCCCUUAUGUCUAGGGCUACACACGUAAUACAAUGGCGCGUACAAUGGGAAGCGAACUCGCAAGGGGGAGCAAAUCUCAAAGAGCGCGUCUCAGUUCGGAUUGAAGUCUGCAACUCGACUUCAUGAAGUUGGAAUCGCUAGUA
rnacentral:rRNA from 1 species